GACAGAGGGUGCAAGCGUUGCUCGGAAUCAUUGGGCGUAAAGGGUUGGUAGGUGGUCUUAUUUGUCAGGGGUGAAAUCCUUGGGCUUAACUCAAGAAGUGCCCUUGAAACGGUGAGACUAGAGUCUUGGAGAGGGUCGCGGAAUACCCGGUGUAGUGGUGAAAUGCGUAGAGAUCCGGAGGAACACCAGUGGCGAAGGCGGCUGGCUGGACCUGACCUGACGCUGAGGCGCGAAGGCGUGGGGAGCGAACGGG
rnacentral:rRNA from 1 species